UGGCUCAGAUUGAACGCUGGCGGCAUGCCUUACACAUGCAAGUCGAACGGCAGCGCGGACUUCGGUCUGGCGGCGAGUGGCGAACGGGUGAGUAAUACAUCGGAACGUACCCUGUUGUGGGGGAUAACUAGUCGAAAGAUUAGCUAAUACCGCAUACGACCUGAGGGUGAAAGCGGGGGACCGCAAGGCCUCGCGCAGCAGGAGCGGCCGAUGUCUGAUUAGCUAGUUGGUGGGGUAAAGGCCCACCAAGGCGACGAUCAGUAGCUGGUCUGAGAGGACGAUCAGCCACACUGGGACUGAGACACGGCCCAGACUCCUACGGGAGGCAGCAGUGGGGAAUUUUGGACAAUGGGGGCAACCCUGAUCCAGCAAUGCCGCGUGUGUGAAGAAGGCCUUCGGGUUGUAAAGCACUUUUGUCCGGAAAGAAAACGCUCUGGUUAAUACCUGGGGUGGAUGACGGUACCGGAAGA
rnacentral:rRNA from 1 species